rnacentral:lncRNA from 1 species
AUGCCCUUAGCCUCAGACUAUUGUGGAUGAACAGCAUCACACCUGUGUGUGUCCUUCAAUUGCUCUUCCACGUGCUUGCAUUCUGCAGUGAGAGACUCCUGAAACUUGUAAAAGAAGAAAGACAAAAUUCUCUUCCUGACAUAGGAGCUAUCUUUAGGGACAGAGGAACUGAGAGAAGAGAUGUAGGGAAAUUUUUUUCCAAUGGUCUUAUUUUCAGUUCUGUUACUUUUGAGCCAAAUCAAACUGCUUGAAAAUGCUAACCCACCCAUCCUUUUUUUUUUCCAUCUCUUUUUUAUCCCCAACCAAAACCUGUGUCAAUGGGGGAAGAAAUAGGGAGGAGAAACAGGUUUUACACAAAGAACAAUUCUAGCUCCAGUUUUCUUAUCUCAUUCUGAGCUGGACUAAUUCCAGUAGGUUUUUCACUGCAUUCUGAUGGCUGCCUGGACUCUGGGCCUGGCAGCACAGAAGGACAAAGCUCCCGGGGGACAGGUGGUAGAAGUCCUAAAGAUGUUCCAUACCAUCUCCAAAGAGGAAACUAAAGAUGUUCUGCACCAUCUCUUCCAGAGGACAUACAAAAGGAAGGUCAGUCCUCUUCUCUCUCUCUCUUCCGAAUCCAAUCUGCUCCUCUCUGCUAUGCUUUCAACUGAGGAAACUGAUUUGGACUCCACUGAUAGGGCUUCUGUGCUCUCUGGCUUUUGGUUGAACCAAUGAGGAGCCCAGGCAGAGAUUGGAGGGAAGAGUAUGAGAUUAGGGUAUUUAUUCCCUGGGCUCCUUCUCUCAGGGGGUGUCCUCUUAACCAGCUCACACAUCUUCUCAAGCCAUCUUUUUACAUCACCCUUUUUACUGCCUUCCAGCAACCCUACCCUCCUCUUAUCUCUUUGGGCCUAAUUUUUUUACAGCUUUGCUAUUUCUGGCCCUGACUUACUGUACAUUCCCUUAUGAUUUCCCUAUAGCCCACCUGACCUUCAGAAAUAGUCCUGUUAUUAAAUCCUAAUUUAAGUGUGUCUGUUUCUCUGAGAACACUGAUGCAGAUGAGAACAUCAAACUGGUCCAUUUAUGUUCCUAAAUAGUGUCCCGCAGGUUUCUCAGGGUCCAGAGUCCCCACCCUGAAGGGAUAGGAAUGAAAGGGAGAGAAUUCCCUGGACUACAGCUCCACAAGGCAGUGUUCUCCUAUUCUCUAUCCCAGUGGUGGCAAAUCUAUGGCACACAUGCUGCACUGGGCUGUUUGUUACCAUUGAAAGCUCUAAAAGGUUCGCCAUCACUGUUCAUUCCAGUCUCCCAAGUGACAAUGAGUGAAUGUGCUUGUGGGUG